rnacentral:rRNA from 1 species
GACGAACGCUGGCGGCGUGCCUAAUACAUGCAAGUUGAGCGAUGAAGAUUGGUGCUUGCACCAAUUUGAAGAGCAGCGAACGGGUGAGUAACGCGUGGGGAAUCUGCCUUUGAGCGGGGGACAACAUUUGGAAACGAAUGCUAAUACCGCAUAACAACUUUAAACAUAAGUUUUAAGUUUGAAAGAUGCAAUUGCAUCACUCAAAGAUGAUCCCGCGUUGUAUUAGCUAGUUGGUGAGGUAAAGGCUCACCAAGGCGAUGAUACAUAGCCGACCUGAGAGGGUGAUCGGCCACACUGGGACUGAGACACGGCCCAAACGCCUACGGGAGGCAGCAGUAGGGAAUCUUCGGCAAUGGACGAAAGUCUGACCGAGAAACGCCGCGUGAGUGAAGAAGGUUGUCGGAUCGUAAAACUCUGUUGGUAGAGAAGAACGUUGGUGAGAGUGGAAAGCUCAUCAAGUGACGGUAACUACCCAGAAAGGGACGGCUAACUACGUG